GAAAUGCGAUAAGUAGUGUGAAUUGCAGAAUUCAGUGAAUCAUCGAAUCUUUGAACGCACAUUGCGCCCCUUGGUAUUCCAUGGGGCAUGCCUGUUCGAGCGUCAUUUGUACCCUCAAGCUCUGCUUGGUGUUGGGUGUUUGUCCCGUCUCCGCGCGUGGACUCGCCCCACAGUGAUUGGCAGCCGGCGUACUGGUCCCGGAGCGCAGCACAUGUCGCGCAAACGAGUGCCUUGGUACGGCGGCGUCCAUAAGCCCCUCUCUCACGCUCUUGACCUCGGAUCAGGUAGGGAUACCCGCUGAACUUAAGC
rnacentral:misc_RNA from 1 species